CUCGUAGGUGGCGUGUCGCGUCUGCCGUGAAAGCCCAUGGCUUAACUGUGGGUCUGCGGUGGAUACGGGCAGGCUGGAGGCUGGUAGGGGCAAGCGGAAUUCCUGGUGUAGCGGUGAAAUGCGCAGAUAUCAGGAGGAACACCGGUGGCGAAGGCGGCUUGCUGGGCCAGUUCUGACGCUGAGGAGCGAAAGCGUGGGGAGCGAACA
rnacentral:rRNA from 1 species